rnacentral:rRNA from 1 species
AAAGGAAUUGACGGGGACCCGCACAAGUGGUGGAGCAUGUUGUUUAAUUCGACAAUACACGAAGAACCUUACCAGGGUUUGACAUGUCCGGCAAAGCUAUAGAAAUAUAGUGGAGGUUAACCGGAACACAGGUGGUGCAUGGUUGUCGUCAGCUCGUGUCGUGAGAUGUUGGGUUAAGUCCCGCAACGAGCGCAACCCUUAUUAAUAGUUACUUUAUCUAUUGAGACUGCCAACGUAAGUUGGAGGAAGGUGGGGAUGACGUCAAAUCAUCAUGCCCUUUAUAUCCUGGGCCACAAACGUGCUACAAUGGUUGGUACAAAACGUUGCCAAAUCGUAAGAUGGAGCUAAUCGCAAAAACCAAUCUCAGUUCGGAUUGAGGGCUGAAAUUCGUCCUCAUGAAGUUGGAAUCACUAGUAAUCGCAGAUCAGACAUGCUGCGGUGAAUGCGUUCUCGGGUCUUGUACACACCGCCCGU